rnacentral:rRNA from 1 species
GACGAACGCUGGCGGCGUGCUUAACACAUGCAAGUCGAGCGGUAAGGCCUCUUCGGGGGUACUCGAGCGGCGAACGGGUGAGUAACACGUGGGUGACCUGCCCUCAGCUCUGGGAUAAGCCUGGGAAACUGGGUCUAAUACCGGAUAUGACCUUCCUUCGCAUGGGGUUUGGUGGAAAGUUUUUUCGGCUUGGGUUGGGCCCGCGGCCUAUCAGCUUGUUGGUGAGGUGAUGGCCUACCAAGGCGACGACGGGUAGCCGGCCUGAGAGGGCGACCGGCCAACCUGGGAGGGAGGCACGGGCCGGACACCUACGGGAGGGGGCGGAGGGGUAUAUUGCGAAAGGGGCGGGAGCCAGACGCAGCGACGGCGCGUGGGGGAUGGCGGCCUUGGAGUAGUAAACCUCUUUCGACCCCGACGAAUUUGGACGGUAGGGGUAGAAGAAGCACCGGCCAACUACGUG